rnacentral:rRNA from 1 species
UACGUAGGGUGCGAGCGUUAAUCGGAAUACUGGGCGUAAAGCGUGCGCAGGCGGUUUUGUAAGUCUGUCGUGAAAGCCCCGGGCUCAACCUGGGAAUUGCGAUGGAGACUGCAAGGCUUGAAUCUGGCAGAGGGGGGUAGAAUUCCACGUGUAGCAGUGAAAUGCGUAGAGAUGUGGAGGAACACCCGAUGGCGAAGGCAGCCCCCUGGGUCAAGAUUGACG